rnacentral:rRNA from 1 species
GACGAACGCUGGCGGCGUGCCUAAUACAUGCAAGUAGAACGCACAGUUUAUACCGUAGCUUGCUACACCAUAGACUGUGAGUUGCGAACGGGUGAGUAACGCGUAGGUAACCUGCCUGGUAGCGGGGGAUAACUAUUGGAAACGAUAGCUAAUACCGCAUAAUAUUAAUUAUUGCAUGAUAAUUAAUUGAAAGGUGCAAUUGCACCACUACCAGAUGGACCUGCGUUGUAUUAGCUAGUAGGUGAGGUAACGGCUCACCUAGGCGACGAUACAUAGCCGACCUGAGAGGGUGAUCGGCCACACUGGGACUGAGACACGGCCCAGACUCCUACGGGAGGCAGCAGUAGGGAAUCUUCGGCAAUGGAUGAAAGUCUGACCGAGCAACGCCGCGUGAGUGAAGAAGGGUUUCGGAUCGUAAAGCUCUGUUGUAAGAGAAGAACGGGUGUGAGAGUGGAAAGUUCACACUGUGACGGUAUCUUACCAGAAAGGGACGGCUAACUACGUG